AGAGUUUGAUCCUGGCUCAGGACGAACGCUGGCGGCGCGCCUAACACAUGCAAGUCGAACGAGCGAGAGAGAGCUUGCUUUCUCGAGCGAGUGGCGAACGGGUGAGUAACGCGUGAGGAACCUGCCUCAAAGAGGGGGACAACAGUUGGAAACGACUGCUAAUACCGCAUAAGCCCACGGCUCGGCAUCGAGCAGAGGGAAAAGGAGCAAUCCGCUUUGAGAUGGCCUCGCGUCCGAUUAGCUAGUUGGUGAGGUAACGGCCCACCAAGGCGACGAUCGGUAGCCGGACUGAGAGGUUGAACGGCCACAUUGGGACUGAGACACGGCCCAGACUCCUACGGGAGGCAGCAGUGGGGAAUAUUGCACAAUGGGGGAAACCCUGAUGCAGCGACGCCGCGUGGAGGAAGAAGGUCUUCGGAUUGUAAACUCCUGUUGUUGAGGAAGAUAAUGACGGUACUCAACAAGGAAGUGACGGCUAACUACGUGCCAGCAGCCGCGGUAAAACGUAGGUCACAAGCGUUGUCCGGAAUUACUGGGUGUAAAGGGAGCGCAGGCGGGAAGACAAGUUGGAAGUGAAAUCCAUGGGCUCAACCCAUGAACUGCUUUCAAAACUGUUUUUCUUGAGUAGUGCAGAGGUAGGCGGAAUUCCCGGUGUAGCGGUGGAAUGCGUAGAUAUCGGGAGGAACACCAGUGGCGAAGGCGGCCUACUGGGCACCAACUGACGCUGAGGCUCGAAAGUGUGGGUAGCAAACAGGAUUAGAUACCCUGGUAGUCCACACCGUAAACGAUGAUUACUAGGUGUUGGAGGAUUGACCCCUUCAGUGCCGCAGUUAACACAAUAAGUAAUCCACCUGGGGAGUACGACCGCAAGGUUGAAACUCAAAGGAAUUGACGGGGGCCCGCACAAGCAGUGGAGUAUGUGGUUUAAUUCGAAGCAACGCGAAGAACCUUACCAGGUCUUGACAUCGGAUGCAUAGCUAAGAGAUUAGCGAAGUCCUUCGGGACAUCCAGACAGGUGGUGCAUGGU
rnacentral:rRNA from 1 species